AAUCCAUAGGUUAAUGAGGCGAACCGGGGGAACUGAAACAUCUAAGUACCCCGAGGAAAAGAAAUCAACCGAGAUUCCCCCAGUAGCGGCGAGCGAACGGGGAGGAGCCCAGAGCCUGAAUCAGCAUGUGUGUUAGUGGAAGCGUCUGGAAAGGCGCGCGAUACAGGGUGACAGCCCCGUACACAAAAGCGCAUGUGUUGUGAGCUCGAUGAGUAGGGCGGGACACGUGGUAUCCUGUCUGAAUAUGGGGGGACCAUCCUCCAAGGCUAAAUACUCCUGACUGACCGAUAGUGAACCAGUACCGUGAGGGAAAGGCGAAAAGAACCCCGGCGAGGGGAGUGAAAAAGAACCUGAAACCGUGUACGUACAAGCAGUGGGAGCACAGGUUUACCUGUGUGACUGCGUACCUUUUGUAUAAUGGGUCAGCGACUUAUAUUCUGUAGCAAGGUUAACCGUAUAGGGGAGCCGGAGGGAAACCGAGUCUUAAUUGGGCGUUAAGUUGCAGGGUAUAGACCCGAAACCCGGUGAUCUAGCCAUGGGCAGGUUGAAGGUUGGGUAACACUAACUGGAGGACCGAACCGACUAAUGUUGAAAAAUUAGCGGAUGACCUGUGGCUGGGGGUGAAAGGCCAAUCAAACCGGGAGAUAGCUGGUUCUCCCCGAAAGCUAUUUAGGUAGCGCCUCGUGAACUCAUCUCC
rnacentral:rRNA from 1 species